AUGUCUGAGACAAAUGUUGUGCUCAGUGGAAAUCUGGAUAGGCUUAUUAUUCCUUAUAUUAGUUAACAAUUGGACAUAAUUGAUUAUUUACUCUUUGUUUAUUUAACCAAUCAACAUUCUCAUUAGCUUAUGCAAAUCUUGAAUAUAAAGAGGCCAGAAAUGGUGUUGAUUGUCUAAAAAAAGAAAGUUUGAUUGACACGUGCUGACUUUUGGAACGUUGGCCUGAACAAUGAAAUGGAAUCAACUGUGAAUUUUGAGGAUUUAGUUUCUCUAAAGAACAUAAUGUCAAUUGUACAAAUAAGUAAAAUGUAACUUUUUGUGUUUGUUUUUUUGCAGAUAUGAAAUGCAUAUUUAUAACUUGUCUAACAAGUAGCUCAUUCAAAGGUAUAAAAAAGUAUUUUUUGGCCUGUGUAGGGUAUUAUUUUAACUAUGUAGCCUACAGAAUGCUUGUAUGGGCUCAUGUAGGUGUCUGCGUACGUUUGUAUUUAUAUAACAUAUGUCCGUGUGUAUAGAUUAUGUAUUUUUCAGGGAAGGACCAUAUUUGUGGCUGACCCCUAUGUUGUUGCAACAUGGUGAAAGCCUACAGGAUGUGACCCACACAUGCAUUUGCCUGUAAGGCUGAUUAGUAACAACUACAACUUGGAGCAUUGGUUCAUUUUCAAAGAACAGUCAAAUCAUAACAAAUUAAAUGAUCCAAAUUCCAAUUAUUUGUGGGAAGAAAAACAGAUCCAAUCUUGAGAUCAGAGAACUAUUGUUAUCUCUAAUGAAAUUCAGUAACCAUUCAUAUUGGCAUGGCGUUUCCAUGAUGAUCCAGAAUAGCCUUGUUUGGUUUUGAAGGUAUGUUCCAGUCGAUCCUUUUAUGUUGCCCCUUCAAUUAAAGCAGAAUUGCACUCCAGAUGAUUCAUCCAAUCAUUUGAAGCAAAAUUCUAAAAUGCCACUCUAAAAUUGCGAAUGUUUUGUUUCAAGGGCGUUGGCCCGGUCUCAACAUUGGUAGGGACGAAUAUAAUGCAAAUAAGGUUGCUCAAAAGUUGGUGGGGACAACUUUAGCAUCCUGAAAAGUUGGUCGUGUUAUGUCCCUACCGUCCCUAUGCAAACCUACGCCCUUGUUUUGUUUGCAUGAAUCAUUUAAACCUGACUGGUUGGUGUUCUUAUGCAUGGAAACACGUUUGUAAUUGUUUAACUACUGUAUUUAAUAUAAACCUAUAUUUUCAAUUGCAGAAAACGUUGACAGUCAAUCAACAGGGGGACAUGGAAAGAGAGGAUUGGAAGUGAAAUAGAGGGUUUUUCGGGACAGCCAUAGGGGAAGGACUGUGGCAUCUUCAUGUUGAUGACUGAUAUGCCAACUCUGAGGAAGUGGUGGUGUAUAUUGCUAGCGGACAAUUUCAAACUUGGGUGCAUGGUGAGCCACAGGAAAGAGUUUGCCCAUUGGACAGACAAGGCAAAAGCAUUACUGCAGGGUGAAGUGCCACCAGUCUAUCAGCUACAGAAGUGAAAUUUGAAUAUAAUUGCUGAGGAAGAGGUGCAACCACAGCUCCUUCAAGUUAGUGGUGGCCCACUCCAAAAAGAUACGGCGGGAAAAAAUGUUUUGGUAAAAGGAUUGCGCCAGACAGCACAAAAGCCUCGGACAGGGCUGGGGGGGGUCAAUGCAGUAGGAGUUCCCAAGCAUCCUGCAGAUGGAAGAGGAUGAGCAUGAACUACAAUGUCUUGGAGCCAUUCAAGUUCUGUUUCAACCAUCUGGAAGAUGGAUUUACCUUUUUUGAGGAGAUUGUUGAUCAAAGAAAAUAAUCUGGUAUUCUCUCAAUAAUAAUAAAAAAAUAAUAAAACUAAAAAAAUAAAGUUUACCACAUUAGAACUGGUUGUAUUGAGUUCAUUUUUCUACACUUAUAAAUUUGUUGUUUUUUUUCUUUUAUCCCAGAUGUUAGUUGUAGGUAGUUUUAAUUACCUGUGAUAAAGGCGGGAGUGCUUGCCGAAAAAUGUCAGGUAAUUAAAACAACCUACAACUAUUGUCUGGGAUAAAAGAAAAAAACAACUAACACAUGACAACUAUUUUGUCAUUUCUGUUUGAAAUAAAGGUGCCUUUCCUGGAGCAGAAAGUUUAAUAUAGUUUCUGAAUUAGUUAAUUAGGAUCUUCACCCACAUGAAUGAAUUUAAGUAGCAAAAUGAAAGACAAAAUUGGUUUGGUUGCAACAUUGAGAGAAUAUUACGUUUUUGAUACAUUAAAUUGUAAUGAAGCUAUAUUAAUGUGUCCGUUCAUAAAAAUGUAAGGAUGACAGCAAUUUCUAAUAAUUCUCAAUUGGAGUAUAUUUUACAAUUGACAAACUAAAGUACACACUGUGAUAGGUUACAUGCGAUCUUUCAGUCACCAAUUAAACCUUUAUUGCAGUAGUGUGUAUUUUAAUUUUGAUGUACUGUAACCGUGUUUUUCAUUUUGGUAAAAUCAGCAGGCUUUAACAAACUGACCGCGCUUAAAGAGUUAAUCUCCCGAUUUCACCAAAUCAAUUUAAGGAGCAUGGAAAUAAAUUAUUAUUUAAAUAAUAAUGAGUGAUGCUGAAACCGAAAAUAAAAGACGUGCGAAAAGAAAAGUAAACUAGUAUUUACGUUCGAAUGGACGCUAACUAUUACGAUAAAACCGGAAGCU